UACGAGGGGGGGCAAGCGUUGUUCGGAAUUACUGGGCGUAAAGGGCUCGUAGGCGGCCAACUAAGUCGGACGUGAAAUCCCCAGGCUCAACCUGGGAACUGCGUCCGAUACUGGAUGGCUUGAAUUCGGGAGAGGGAUGCAGAAUUCCAGGUGUAGCGGUGAAAUGCGUAGAUAUCUGGAGGAAUACCGGUGGCGAAGGCGGCAUCCUGGACCGACAUUGACGCUGAUGAGCGAAAGCUAGGGGGAGCAAACAGG
rnacentral:rRNA from 1 species